rnacentral:rRNA from 1 species
AUGAUAUUAUCACAGAAGCCAGCAGCAGCAACUCCAAUCCCUAGUUUCGCUCGAUGUGCUGAGCUCCUCUAUAUCCCGGCGGCCACAGCAGAAACACACACGAAGAGAGCGCGGCCCAUGGGUGGCGCCGGCGAGGCUGCGUGUAGCCACAGCAGCGUCAAACUGCAGGCCCCGCUGCUGGCAUCGCUUGAACCGUCGGCCGGCAGGGCGAGCAACGAGCUGGAGGCCAUCCUCAACGACGACUCGGUGCCGUGGGCGCGGCGGAUGUGCGCAGCAACGGCGGUGGAGACGCGCAUGCUGUUGCGCCUGGCGGCGCCUGCUGUUCUAGUCUACAUGAUCAACUACAUGAUGUCCAUGUCGACGCAGAUCUUCGCUGGCCAUCUUGGCACGCUCGAGCUCGCCGCCGCUUCCCUCGGCAACACCGGCAUCCAGGUCUUCGCCUACGGCCUCAUGCUUGGCAUGGGGAGCGCGGUGGAGACGCUGUGCGGGCAGGCGUACGGCGCGAACAAGUUCGACAUGCUGGGCAUCUACAUGCAACGCUCCACCGUCCUUCUCAUGGCGACCGGCAUCCCACUCGCCGUCAUCUACGUCUUCUGCCGUCCCAUCCUCAUCCUCCUUGGACAGACACCGGAGAUCGCCCGCGCUGCCGCCAUCUUUGUGUAUGGCCUCAUUCCGCAGAUCUUUGCCUACGCGGCAAUCUUUCCCAUCCAAAAGUUCAUGCAGGCACAGAGCAUCAUGGCUCCCAGCGCAUACAUCUCAGCGGGAACGCUCGGCGUCCACCUUGUACUCAGCUACCUCCUUGUCUACAAAUUCGGCCUGGGGCUCCUGGGGGUCUCGCUCAUGCUGAGCGUCAGCUGGUGGAUCAUCGUGGUCGCUCAUUUCGUCUACAUCAUGAAUAGCAAUCGAUGCCGGCUCACGUGGUCUGGAUUCUCCGUCGAGGCAUUCUCCGGUCUGCCAAAGUUUUUUAAGCUGUCCCUUGCAUCUGCUGUCAUGAUCUGUCUCGAGAAUUGGUACUUCCAGAUACUCGUCCUCACUGCUGGCCUCCUCGAGGAUCCCGAAAUUGCCCUCGCGUCGCUCACUGUCUGCAUGACCAUUUCGGGGUGGGUGUUCAUGAUUUCAAUUGGAUGCAACGCAGCAGCAAGCGUCAGGGUGAGCAAUGAGCUUGGCGCUGGGAACCCCAAGUCAGCCGCGUUCUCCGUGGUGGUAGUGACGAUGCUGACGUUCAUCCUAUCGGUGAUAAUCGCAGUGGUCAUUCUUCUCUUCCGUGACAAAAUCAGCUACAUCUACACCGGCGGCGAGGAUGUGUCGGCAGCAGUGUCCAAGCUGACGCCGCUGCUCGCGCUCACCCUCGUUCUCAACGGCAUCCAACCCGUACUGUCAGGGGUAGCCGUCGGCUGUGGAUGGCAAGCCUUCGUGGCCUACGUCAAUGUUGGCUGCUACUAUGUCGUGGGCGUCCCCCUUGGCUGCCUACUCAGCUUCUACUUUGACCUCGGCACUGCGGGCUUAUGGAGUGGUAUGAUUGGAGGCACCCUAAUUCAGAGCAUGAUACUGAUGUGGGUUAUCUUCAGAACAGAUUGGAACAAAGAGGUGGCCGUAGCGACGGAACGAUUGGACAGGUGGGAAGAGAAGACACCUCUAUUAGCUGGGCAAAAAUGA